rnacentral:rRNA from 1 species
GACCUGCGGAAGGAUCAUUAUAGUAUCUUGCUGGCAAGCGCUUUCACUAGCGCGGCCACAACCUUUACACACGUGUGAAUUAUGUAUUUGCUUUGGUCUCUCUACUUUUUUUUUUAAGUAAGAGGCCAGCUUUUAAACUCAGAUUUUGUAUCUUUUUUAAAACCACAGUCAAGAAGUUUUAUGAACUAUAAUCUUCAAAACUUUCAACAACGGAUCUCUUGGUUCUCGCAACGAUGAAGAACGCAGCGAAAUGCGAUACGUAAUGUGAAUUGCAGGUUUUCGUGAAUCAUCGAAUCUUUGAACGCACAUUGCACCCUCUGGCAUUCCAGAGGGUAUGCCUGUUUGAGCGUCAUUUCUCUCUCAAUCGUCAAGAUUGGUAUUGAGUGAUACUCUGCUUGCAGUGUUAACUUGAAAUAGUGUUUUUACGCGGACUUGCUUUUUUGUGGCCGCUCUCUGUUUGAGAUAAUGUAUUAGGUUCUACCAACUCGUUAUAGCAGCAUGAGUGUGACUAAGCUGGGCUGCCCGAACAACCUAACCUAAAGUUUGACCUCAAAUCAGGUAGGACUACCCGCUGAACUUAAGCAUAUCAAUAAGCGGAGGAAAAGAAACCAACAGGGAUUGCCUCAGUAACGGCGAGUGAAGCGGCAAAAGCUCAAAUUUGAAAUCUGGCACUUUCAGUGUCCGAGUUGUAAUUUGAAGAUGGAUUUCUGGAGUUGGCCCCUGUCUAUGUUCCUUGGAACAGGACGUCACAGAGGGUGAGAAUCCCGUCUGGCGGGGUGGUCCAGCUCCAUGUAGAUUUCCUUCGAAGAGUCGAGUUGUUUGGGAAUGCAGCUCUAAGUGGGAGGUAAAUUCCUUCUAAAGCUAAAUAUUGGCGAGAGACCGAUAGCGAACAAGUACAGUGAUGGAAAGAUGAAAAGAACUUUGAAAAGAGAGUGAAAAAGUACGUGAAAUUGUUGAAAGGGAAGGGUAUUAGAUCAGACUUGGUGUUUUGUGAUUAUCAUUCCCUCGUGGGAUGUGCACUCGCAUUGCGCUGGGCCAGCAUCGGUUCGAGUGGCAAGAUAAUGACUUGGGAACGUGGCUCUGCUUCGGGAGAGUGUUAUAGCCCACAGUUGAUGUUGCCUACUUGGACCGAGGACUGCGGCUUUAUUGCCUAGGAUGCUCGCGUAAUGAUCUCAUACCGCCCGUCUCGA